ACUAAGAUAUAAAAUACUUAUUAUUGUAGGAAGAGAAUGUUGGAAACAUUACAGAAGAAAGUCAAGUCGUCUUGCCUUACACUGAUGGUUUUAUGGAAAAUCAUAUAGAUAUGAUGAAUAUGAGCUAUGACUUGGAGGCAGGAAACCAACUGAUUCCUCAACCAAACAUGAUGCAGCCACCCUUUAUGCCUUCAGAUCAAUUGCCUUACAAUUUUCAACCCAAUUGAACGUAGGGAUGCAUUUGCCGUUGCCGGGGGUGGAUGAAUGAAGCCAUGGUGUGGUCAAAAUUAAUAAACUAUGUCUUCUCUUGUGGAUCUGGAGCAACCGUUUACAUCUAUUAUUAAUUCCCAUCAAAUAAUACCCCCACCCCCCUCCUUUUUUCAGUUCGGAAUUUUGGAAAACUUUAGCCCAUAAAAUAAUUGGUCACCUUUGUGUUUAACAUUCUAUAUAUUCUGUGCCUACCAAA